CCUACGGGAGGCAGCAGUGAGGAAUAUUGGACAAUGGGCGCAAGCCUGAUCCAGCCAUGCCGCGUGCAGGAAGAAGCAUCUAUGGUGUGUAAGCUGCUUUUGUACAGGAAGAAACACUCCCUCGUGAGGGAGCUUGACGGUACUGUAAGAAUAAGGACCGGCUAACUCCGUGCCAGCAGCCGCGGUAAUACGGAGGGUCCGAGCGUUAUCCGGAAUCAUUGGGUUUAAAGGGUCCGUAGGCGGUUUAAUAAGUCAGUGGUGAAAUCUGGUCGCUCAACGAUCAAACGGCCAUUGAUACUGUUAGACUUGAAUUAUAAGGAAGUAACUAGAAUAUGUAGUGUAGCGGUGAAAUGCUUAGAUAUUACAUGGAAUACCAAUUGCGAAGGCAGGUUACUACUUAUGGAUUGACGCUGAUGGACGAAAGCGUGGGGAGCGAACAGGAUUAGAUACCCUGGUAGUCCACGCCGUAAACGAUGGAUACUAGCUUGUUCGGAGCAAUCUGAGUGGCUAAGCGAAAGUGAUAAGUAUCCCACCUGGGGAGUACGUUCGCAAGAAUGAAACUCAAAGGAAUUGACCGGNNGAGAGAGCGAGACGACGACGAGGGAGGAGG
rnacentral:rRNA from 1 species